UUGGAGGGCAAGUCUGGUGCCAGCAGCCGCGGUAAUUCCAGCUCCAAUAGCGUAUAUUAAAGUUGUUGCAGUUAAAAAGCUCGUAGUUGAACUUCGGGGUCAGCAGGUUGGUCGUGCCAAUGGUAUGCACUGGCCUUGCUGAUUCCUCCCUCUUGAUGAGCCGUAAUGUCAUUAAUUUGGUGUUGCGGGGAAUCAGGACUGUUACUUUGAAAAAAUUAGAGUGUUUAAAGCAGGCAAGCGCUUGAAUACAUUAGCAUGGAAUAAUGAAAUAGGACGUUUGAUCCUAUUUUGUUGGUUUCUAGGAUUGACGUAAUGAUUAAUAGGGAUAGUUGGGGGCAUUAGUAUUCAAUUGUCAGAGGUGAAAUUCUUGGAUUUAUUGAAGACUAACUACUGCGAAAGCAUUUGCCAAGGAUGUUUUCAUUAAUCAAGAACGAAAGUUAGGGGAUCGAAGACGAUCAGAUACCGUCGUAGUCUUAACCAUAAACUAUGCCGACUAGGGAUCGGAUGAUGUUAAUUUUUUAAUGACUCAUUCGGCGCCUUACGGGAAAC
rnacentral:rRNA from 1 species